rnacentral:rRNA from 1 species
CUACGGAGGGUCCAAGCGUUAUCCGGAAUCAUUGGGUUUAAAGGGUUCGUAGGCGGGUCAAUAAGUCAGAGGUGAAAUCUUGCAGCUUAACUGUAAAAUUGCCUUUGAUACUGUUGACCUUGAAUUACUGUGAAGUGGUUAGAAUAUGUAGUGUAGCGGUGAAAUGCUUAGAGAUUACAUAGAAUACCGAUUGCGAAGGCAGAUCACUAACAGUAUAUUGACGCUGAUGAACGAAAGCGUGGGUAGCGAACGGGAUUAGAAACCCUAGUAGUCC